rnacentral:misc_RNA from 1 species
AAAAGUCGUAACAAGGUCUCCGUAGGUGAACCUGCGGAAGGAUCAUUAUCAACUUGCUUCAACGUCCACGCUUGAAGCAGGCUAUCGCCCUUGUUCUUUAGGUACCUCCUGUUUCCUUGGCACUCACUGUGCCAUCUGGACCAUCAACCUUAACCUCUUGUAUUAGCAAUCAGCGUCAGAAACACAAAACUUCAAUAGUUACAACUUUCAACAACGGAUCUCUUGGUUCUG